AGUCGAGGGGCAUCAUGGCGGUCGCUUGCGACCGCUGAUGGCGACCGGCGCACGGGUGCGUAACGCGUAUCGAACCUGCCGCAUACCCGGGGAUAGCCUUGCGAAAGCAAGAUUAAUACCCGAUGUUCUCACUGUUCCGCAUGUUACGGUGAGCAAAGAAUUUCGGUAUGCGAUGGCGAUGCGUCCCAUUAGCUAGUUGGCGGGGUAACGGCCCACCAAGGCUCCGAUGGGUAGGGGUUCUGAGAGGAAGGCCCCCCACACUGGUACUGAGACACGGACCAGACUCCUACGGGAGGCAGCAGUGAGGAAUAUUGGUCAAUGGCCGGAAGGCUGAACCAGCCAAGUCGCGUGAGGGAAUAAGGCCCUACGGGUCGUAAACCUCUUUUGCCAGGGAGCAAUGCCGUCCACGUGUGGACGGAAGGAGAGUACCUGGAGAAAAAGCAUCGGCUAACUCCGUGCCAGCAGCCGCGGUAAUACGGAGGAUGCGAGCGUUAUCCGGAUUUAUUGGGUUUAAAGGGUGCGUAGGCGGCCUGCCAAGUCAGCGGUAAAAUUGCGGGGCUCAACCCCGUACAGCCGUUGAAACUGCCGGGCUCGAGUGGGCGAGAAGUAUGCGGAAUGCGUGGUGUAGCGGUGAAAUGCAUAGAUAUCACGCAGAACCCCGAUUGCGAAGGCAGCAUACCGGCGCCCGACUGACGCUGAGGCACGAAAGUGCGGGGAUCAAACAGGAUUAGAUACCCUGGUAGUCCGCACAGUAAACGAUGAAUGCUA
rnacentral:rRNA from 1 species